rnacentral:rRNA from 1 species
CUUGCUUCUCUUGAGAAGCGGCGGACGGGUGAGUAAUGCCUAGGAAUCUGCCUGGUAGUGGGGGAUAACGUCCGGAAACGGACGCUAAUACCGCAUACGUCCUACGGGAGAAAGCAGGGGACCUUCGGGCCUUGCGCUAUCAGAUGAGCCUAGGUCGGAUUAGCUAGUUGGUGGGGUAAUGGCUCACCAAGGCGACGAUCCGUAACUGGUCUGAGAGGAUGAUCAGUCACACUGGAACUGAGACACGGUCCAGACUCCUACGGGAGGCAGCAGUGGGGAAUAUUGGACAAUGGGCGAAAGCCUGAUCCAGCCAUGCCGCGUGUGUGAAGAAGGUCUUCGGAUUGUAAAGCACUUUAAGUUGGGAGGAAGGGCAGUAAAUUAAUACUUUGCUGUUUUGACGUUACCGACAGAAUAAGCACCGGCUAACUCUGUGCCAGCAGCCGCGGUAAUACAGAGGGUGCAAGCGUUAAUCGGAAUUACUGGGCGUAAAGCGCGCGUAGGUGGUUCGUUAAGUUGGAUGUGAAAUCCCCGGGCUCAACCUGGGAACUGCAUUCAAAACUGACGAGCUAGAGUAUGGUAGAGGGUG